GCUGUGUUCACGCCUCAAAGAUGCAAUCAAAUUUCUACAAUGGAGAAGGAAGGAAUCUGUGUUUUCUUAAGUGUUUUAAGGUGGAACUGGAGGAAACUGAACUGCCUUGGCAAGGUGUGGACUGGAUGACUGUUGUGGUAUCCUCCAAUAAGAGACACCCCUAGGAGUUUUCAUUACUGAGUUUGUUCUGGAAGGCAUGAAUCUGCUAUGCAUAUUUGACCCUGCUA